GGUUGCGAAUUAUUAAUUGACCAUACCUUUUUUUUUUUUUUUUUUUUUAUAAACGUUGGGUCGUCAUAUAUAUUGUGAAUUUUGAAAAAAUUUAAAUGGGUUUCUAAUAUAAAUUUUCAUUUAUUAAAGACUAAGGGACGUUGGCUCGUGUUGUCAAAUUAUCCAGUAUGGAGAAAUGAACAAUAGUCUGCUUCUGAAGCCUAAGUAGUUGUACUCCUUGACCCAACUCAUCACUAUUAAUGAACAGUACAAUUAAUUAAGCUCUAAAUAGUAAAUACAAAUGAAAGAAAUGACUUAAAAAAAUUAAGAUUUCGAUUCCCGCUGCGAGGCAAUUGGCA
rnacentral:lncRNA from 1 species